rnacentral:rRNA from 1 species
AUUGAACGCUGGCGGCAUGCCUUACACAUGCAAGUCGAACGGUAACGGGCCUUCGGGUGCCGACGAGUGGCGAACGGGUGAGUAAUACAUCGGAACGUGCCCGAUCGUGGGGGAUAACGAGGCGAAAGCUUUGCUAAUACCGCAUACGAUCUACGGAUGAAAGCAGGGGACCGCAAGGCCUUGCGCGGACGGAGCGGCCGAUGGCAGAUUAGGUAGUUGGUGGGAUAAAAGCUUACCAAGCCGACGAUCUGUAGCUGGUCUGAGAGGAUGAUCAGCCACACUGGGACUGAGACACGGCCCAGACUCCUACGGGAGGCAGCAGUGGGGAAUUUUGGACAAUGGGCGCAAGCCUGAUCCGGCCAUGCCGCGUGCAGGAUGAAGGCCUUCGGGUUGUAAACUGCUUUUGUACGGAACGAAAAGCCUUCUUUUAAUACAGGAGGGUCAUGACGGUACCGUAAGAAUAAGCACCGGCUAACUACGUG